rnacentral:rRNA from 1 species
GACGAACGCUGGCGGCGUGCUUAACACAUGCAAGUCGAACGGAAAGGCCCUGCUGUUGUGGGGUGCUCGAGUGGCGAACGGAUGAGUAACACGUGAGUAACCUGCCCUUGACUUUGGGAUAACUUCAGGAAACUGGGGCUAAUACCGGAUAGGAGCUCCUGCGGCAUGGUGGGGGUUGGAAAGUUUCGGCGGUUGGGGAUGGACUCGCGGCUUAUCAGCUUGUUGGUGGGGUAGUGGCUUACCAAGGCUUUGACGGGUAGCCGGCCUGAGAGGGUGACCGGCCACAUUGGGACUGAGAUACGGCCCAGACUCCUACGGGAGGCAGCAGUGGGGAAUAUUGCACAAUGGGCGGAAGCCUGACGCAGCAACGCCGCGUGCGGGAUGACGGCCUUCGGGUUGUAAACCGCUUUCGCCUGUGACGAAGCGUGAGUGACGGUAAUGGGUAAAGAAGCACCGGCUAACUACGUG